rnacentral:rRNA from 1 species
GAGUUGCUUACAAAGAUAAAGAGCCAGUUCACUGGCUCUUCAAAGAUCUAUGCCACCCAGGUGUUAGAGCAACUGGUGACAGAACGCUACACAGGUGGUAGUCAUGGAAUAAGAGAGCACAUCCUCAGGAUGAGUAAUAUGGCAGCAAAGCUCAAGCCCAUGGAUGCGGAUCUGGAGAUCAAACCAGCACUCCUGGUCCACCUGGUCAUGGCUUCACUGCCACAGGAGUUUGCAACUUUUGUUGUAAACUAUAAUAUGUCACUUGGAACAUGGGACAUUGAAAAGACAAUAGCAAUGUGUGUCCAAGAAGAGGACAGACUCAAAGCCGCACAUGGUGGUUCAAUCAACUAUGUGAAGGAUUGGAAGAAAAAGAACUACAAUCAAAACAACAAAAGUUCUCCUUCAAAGAAUGGAAAAGCCCCC